rnacentral:rRNA from 1 species
AUGAACGCUGGCGGCGUGCCUAAUACAUGCCAGUCGAGCGAACGGACGAGAAGCUUGCUUUUCUGAUGUUAGCGGCGGACGGGUGAGUAACACGUGGAUAACCUACCUAUAAGACUGGGAUAACUUCGGGAAACCGGAGCUAAUACCGGAUAAUAUUUUGAACCGCAUGGUUCAAAAGUGAAAGACGGUCUUGCUGUCACUUAUAGAUGGAUCCGCGCUGCAUUAGCUAGUUGGUAAGGUAACGGCUUACCAAGGCAACGAUGCAUAGCCGACCUGAGAGGGUGAUCGGCCACACUGGAACUGAGACACGGUCCAGACUCCUACGGGAGGCAGCAGUAGGGAAUCUUCCGCAAUGGGCGAAAGCCUGACGGAGCAACGCCGCGUGAGUGAUGUAGGUCUUCGGAUCGUAAAACUCUGUUAUUAGGGAAGAACAUAUGUGUAAGUAACUGUGCACAUCUUGACGGUACCUAAUCAGAAAGCCACGGCUAACUACGUG